rnacentral:rRNA from 1 species
GAUCAUGGCUCAGGAUGAACGCUAGCGGCAGGCUUAAUACAUGCAAGUCGUGGGGCAGCAGGUUUGUAGCAAUACAGAUGCUGGCGACCGGCAAACGGGUGCGGAACACGUACAGAACCUUCCUUUGAGCGGGGAAUAGCCCAGAGAAAUUUGGAUUAAUACCCCAUAGUAUAAUGAAGUGGCAUCACUUUAUUAUUAAAGAUUUAUCACUCGAAGAUGGCUGUGCGGCUGAUUAGGUAGUUGGCGGGUAAAGGCCCACCAAGCCUGCGAUCAGUAACUGGUGUGAGAGCACGACCAGUCACACGGGCACUGAGACACGGGCCCGACUCCUACGGGAGGCAGCAGUAAGGAAUAUUGGUCAAUGGAGGCAACUCUGAACCAGCCAUGCCGCGUGGAGGAUGAAGGUCCUCUGGAUUGUAAACUUCUUUUAUAUGGGACGAAAAAGGCUUUUCUAAGCCGUCUGACGGUACCAUAUGAAUAAGCACCGGCUAACUCCGUG